rfam:Salmo salar isolate Sally breed double haploid chromosome ssa03, whole genome shotgun sequence.
ACAGCAACCCUAACAAAAGCAUUGACUGGUUUUGUCUGCAGUAAGUGCUUUUUGUUGAGGUAGCUGUU